rnacentral:lncRNA from 1 species
AUCGCCCUGCAGGAAUCACAGCCAGAUGGGGGCUUCCCAAGCGCUGCCCACCUGGCUGGCACGCAGGAGGAAGUGGCAUAGACUGGGGAGGAGGAAGCACUCUCACUCCUGCUGGAGCCUCUUCUCCAGCAGGAACCCCGAUUGGCCCAGCCAUCCCUGGGGAGCCCCAUCCCACGUGCCCCGCACCCCGUGUCUGUCAGCACCGAUCAGGGUCUCCCAGACACCUGCUCUGGGGUUGCCAUGGGGACGAGCGGCAGGGUGAGUGUGGCGCACACAGCUGUCUGUGGACACACAAAGGGCAUGCACACAUGUGUCUGUGCUCACCUGCACGUGUUCACAUGGACUGGGCACCGCCGGAGGUGUCCACACAGCAGUGUACACGGACCCCCCUGCAGAUGUGCACACACCCAGCAAGGCAUGUAUGUGUUCUCGCACCAGGAAGUGGGUCACGCCCCACACCACACACCGUACACUCUGUCCCUGGAGCACGCACCUGCCUGGGUGCACCAGGCAGUCUAAGCCCAUGUCGCCUAUGUGUACAUGUAUGUGCAAAUACCUACUCAGGCACACCAGUGUGUGUACACGGCUGCCAGGCACACUGGGCAGUCCAAGCCCAUGUCACCUAUGUGUACACGCCUGCCCAGGCUCUUGGAAUCAGGCACUUUCUGAGGCUGCCCCGAUGGGCGUUCCCUUCCCCAGCCAGUACAUCCUCUCUUCCUAACCCCACGUCUGCUGGACUCUGAAGGUGUCCACGCGGCCAUGAACAUCUCCAGGGCCUGCACUGCCCACCACCAGGACCCCAGCGGAACCCAGCAUCUGGUCACUAGGGAUCUGCGUGGGCAGUCACUUCCUAGGGGCCUGUACCCCUUAAGGAGAGUGAAGGAUGGGCCGGCCCAGCUGGGGCUGAAUCCUCACAGCCUUGUUCACGG